AGUGAACGCUGGCGGUAGGCCUAACACAUGCAAGUCGAACGGCAGCACAGGAGAGCUUGCUCUCUGGGUGGCGAGUGGCGGACGGGUGAGGAAUACAUCGGAAUCUACUUUUUCGUGGGGGAUAACGUAGGGAAACUUACGCUAAUACCGCAUACGACCUACGGGUGAAAGAAGGGGACCUUCGGGCCUUGCGCGAUUGAAUGAGCCGAUGUCGGAUUAGCUAGUUGGCGGGGUAAAGGCCCACCAAGGCGACGAUCCGUAGCUGGUCUGAGAGGAUGAUCAGCCACACUGGAUCUGAGACACGGUCCAGACUCCUACGGGAGGCAGCAGUGGGGAAUAUUGGACAAUGGGCGCAAGCCUGAUCCAGCCAUACCGCGUGGGUGAAGAAGGCCUUCGGGUUGUAAAGCCCUUUUGUUGGGAAAGAAAUCCAGCUGGCUAAUACCCGGUUGGGAUGACGGUACCCAAAGAAUAAGCACCGGCUAACUUCGUGCCAGCAGCCGCCGUAA
rnacentral:rRNA from 1 species